rnacentral:lncRNA from 1 species
GAGAAAGAGAAAAAUCCAGGAUGACUCUUAGAAUUAGAGUUUGAGCAAACAAGCCCAAGCAAACAAGCACAAUGUGGCAGUGCCAUAGUCUGUGAUAGCAGAGCUUAGAGAAGCCCAUGCAUGUUUGGGGGCAUUGUGGAAGGGAGUUCUUUCUUGAGCAUACGAAGUGUGAGAUGCCUGUUACAAAUGUAUAUCCUACCACACUCCUGACCUCCCAGCUUGGGGUCAGGCCCUAUACCCAAUUGCCCAUCCAACCACAUGGCAGAUCACCAGGGAUGUGAGGGAGCCCAGUGUACAGACUCCCCACUGACUGAGGGGCAUCAGGAUGCUCUUCACUGGGGACUUAGCAUAACUCAGUGUGACCCUGGGAAGCCCUCUGAGCCACCCACAAAGGAUUCUUGUCCUCAUGGUGACUGUGGUCACCCAAGCCUGUGACCAACACUGGUCUCAUUAAGAUGGGUAUCAACAGGGAAAACCCAUUGCCCCCAAGAAAGCCCGAGAGAGACAUUCGAUAAGGAGCAGCCACAUGUGUGUCUGAUGGAGCCAGAAUGAUCCCCAUAUGGACACGGGGCUCAAUGGGGCUACAUACUUUAUCCUAGAGGUUGGUCUCUCAGGACCAUGUUUUCACUUCAUCCCUGUCAGAGUAGGUCUGCAGUGGCAACCCUCAUCUCGUGGACUGUUUAAAUAUUAAAUAUCGUUCCUUCCUAGAAGGAGGAAACUCUUGAGAUGGUUCUGGAGUCCUUGGGGAUAAGAGGAGAAACACUGCCCUUUGUUAAGGAGAGAAAAUGUCCCUUGAAUGGGGAAUGGGCAACCACCUGGAAGAAACUGAUGCAGCCAGAUCUAUUUCCAGCUAUAACUGACUCACUUUCAUCUGUCAAAACAGCAUUAAGCACCAGUAAUAAGCCCUUUAAACAAACAGGCUGUUCAUCCUGAGACUGCAACAUCUUCAGCUGCAGGACCACCCCAGGAGGAAAUACUGCAGGAGAUUAGCCUCUUCUUUUAGCAGGGGGAGAAGAAGGGGAAAAGGAGGCUUGGAAUGGAAUUCUGCCAAUGAUCCUCUCCCUCCGUGGGGCCAUUGGACUCUGCAGGGUGCUGGGUCUAAUAGGACACCAAUGAAAAGUUAGGGAGCAUGUUCAUUAGCCCUUGCCUUGGUGGGACCUUACCUGGUGUUCACUGCAAGUGGAGGAAUGGGCUGGGGAGGGAUGCAGUACAAAGUCACACGAGAAAAGACCAAGGGAUUGUAGAGAGGAAGGCUGAGGAGGAAUCCGGCCAAGAGGCACUGUGGCCUAGCAUCAAAACCAUGGGCUUUGGCAGUAGCGACACCUCCAAAGGGUCCAGACCCCAGCUCCGUGACUGGCUUGGUUGUAUCACCUGCCUUCCCCCAGAGCCCCGCAGAAGACACAUGUAAUUAAUCAAUCGUGCCUACUGUGAUUGUGGCAGCUGCCACCUGCCACUUGGAGAGCUACAAUGUGGGAAAGACAUAAGACUUGUCCUAUGGACUCAAGAGUUCCAGAGGCUGGAGCCACAAGGAGGAGAGUGCAAUAGGCUGAAUUUAAGACAGGACUCUGUAGUAGUCAGAGCAGUGGACUAAGUUAAACCAGUCACUCAUGAGUUCUUCACCUUGAAGUCCCAAUAAUGGACUGCAGUUUGCAAAAUAAUCUUGUUUCCUUAUGUUAAGAUGUGUUACCCAAUAAACCCCCUGUUUAUAGGGUAUGUGGGGGGGGGUGUGAAUGAACUUUUAUUGUGAUAAAAUAUACAUAACAUAAAAUUUAUGAUUUUAAUGA